CUCUUUUAAGUUCUAAUUGUCAAUGCUACUCUCUUGUACUCCCAAAAUACAAGAAAUUGUAAUAUAAAAAAAUAACAACAAAAUGUAACAUGACAUAAUCACCUUGAAGGGUGCUCCAUUCUUACACUUUUACUUAGUGGUGAUAACAACAACAUGGUACCCAUACUAUUCAUUUCUUCUACUAUUCCAUUUGACCUAUGACUAAUCACAAUUCUAACUAUCCUUUCAGUUGCCUCUAUAUCCUAAUCUACUUAUACCAAUAAGUAUAGCUCUAAGAAAAAAUUGAAAUCCAUCCCAAGUUUUAAGUAUAAUACAGCCGUAACCAAUGCCCGUUAAUACAUGUAUUGAAUUGGUGGUCCAUAAAAUCUUUCAUUUGGAAUGACCAAUUAUACGCUCUAUGAUAUGCCCAUAAGGCUCCAAAUAAUUUGGUAUCCCAAUCCGUGCCCGCCC
rnacentral:lncRNA from 1 species